rnacentral:misc_RNA from 1 species
AAGUCGUAACAAGGUUUCCGUAGGUGAACCUGCGGAAGGAUCAUUAUCGUUGGGCUUCGGCCCAUUCGAGAUAACACCCUUGCCUUUUUGAGUACCUUUUCGUUUCCUCGGCAGGCUCGCCUGCCAACGGGGACCCUUCAAAACGCUUUGUAAUACCUGUAAUCGUCUGACAAAACAAACAAAAAUUAAAACUUUCAACAACGGAUCUCUUGGUUCUG